rnacentral:rRNA from 1 species
GAUGAACGCUGGCGGCGUGCCUAAUACAUGCAAGUCGAGCGAACAGAUAAGGAGCUUGCUCCUUUGAAGUUAGCGGCGGACGGGUGAGUAACACGUGGGUAACCUACCUAUAAGACUGGGAUAACUUCGGGAAACCGGAGCUAAUACCGGAUAACAUUUAGAACCGCAUGGUCCUAAAGUGAAAGAUGGUUUUGCUAUCACUUAUAGAUGGACCCGCGCCGUAUUAGCUAGUUGGUAAGGUAACGGCUUACCAAGGCGACGAUACGUAGCCGACCUGAGAGGGUGAUCGGCCACACUGGAACUGAGACACGGUCCAGACUCCUACGGGAGGCAGCAGUAGGGAAUCUUCCGCAAUGGGCGAAAGCCUGACGGAGCAACGCCGCGUGAGUGAUGAAGGGUUUCGGCUCGUAAAACUCUGUUAUUAGGGAAGAACAAAUGUGUAAGUAACUGUGCACAUCUUGACGGUACCUAAUCAGAAAGCCACGGCUAACUACGUGCCAGCAGCCGCGGUAAUACGUAGGUGGCAAGCGUUAUCCGGAAUUAUUGGGCGUAAAGCGCGCGUAGGCGGUUUCUUAAGUCUGAUGUGAAAGCCCACGGCUCAACCGUGGAGGGUCAUUGGAAACUGGGAAACUUGAGUGCAGAAGAGGAAAGUGGAAUUCCAUGUGUAGCGGUGAAAUGCGCAGAGAUAUGGAGGAACACCAGUGGCGAAGGCGACUUUCUGGUCUGUAACUGACGCUGAUGUGCGAAAGCGUGGGGAUCAAACAGGAUUAGAUACCCUGGUAGUCCACGCCGUAAACGAUGAGUGCUAAGUGUUAGGGGGUUUCCGCCCCUUAGUGCUGCAGCUAACGCAUUAAGCACUCCGCCUGGGGAGUACGACCGCAAGGUUGAAACUCAAAGGAAUUGACGGGGACCCGCACAAGCGGUGGAGCAUGUGGUUUAAUUCGAAGCAACGCGAAGAACCUUACCAAAUCUUGACAUCCUUUGAAAACUCUAGAGAUAGAGCCUUCCCCUUCGGGGGACAAAGUGACAGGUGGUGCAUGGUUGUCGUCAGCUCGUGUCGUGAGAUGUUGGGUUAAGUCCCGCAACGAGCGCAACCCUUAAGCUUAGUUGCCAUCAUUAAGUUGGGCACACUAGGUUGACUGCCGGUGACAAACCGGAGGAAGGUGGGGAUGACGUCAAAUCAUCAUGCCCCUUAUGAUUUGGGCUACACACGUGCUACAAUGGACAAUACAAAGGGCAGCUAAACCGCGAGGUCAUGCAAAUCCCAUAAAGUUGUUCUCAGUUCGGAUUGUAGUCUGCAACUCGACUACAUGAAGCUGGAAUCGCUAGUAAUCGUAGAUCAGCAUGCUACGGUGAAUACGUUCCCGGGUCU